UUUUUUUUUUUUUUAAGAUUUUUUUGAAUUUAUUUAUUCAUGAGAGACAGAGUGAGAGAGAGAGAGAGAGAGAGAGAGAGAAGCAGAGACACAGGCAGAGGAAGAAGCAGGCUCCAUGCAGGGAGCUCCAUGUGGGACUCGAUCCCGGGUCUCCAGGAUCAGGCCUUGGGCUGAAGGCUGCACUAAACUGCUGAGCCACCCGGGCUGCCCAAACUGGAGAGUUCUGACUGAAAAGGCAGGAGAUGGUCCCUUUCUUGUUUGCCCACAUUGUAGAUUUACCUCUGAAAAGUGCUGCCCACUGUGUGCUCUUCAAAAUGAAAAAAAAAAAAAUGACAACUAUAGUGCAAUGAAAUAAAUACAAAAGAUUAGAGAAUAGGAGUAGAUUGGGAGAAGAAAGAAACCAUGUGGCUUCUCAAUUUUUUUCAUUUUGAAAAUCACUCUUACUAGUUCUCUUUAUUAUAACCAAUACUUCUCUUUUGGUUUAAAUUACUUUAAAGUGAGGGACACCUGGGGUGGGUCAGUGGUUGAGCAACUGCCUUUGGCAUUGGGAGUGAUCCCAGGAUCCUGGGAUUGACUCUGCUGCUUCUCCCUUUGCCUGUGUCUCUGCCUCCCUGCCCCCCCCCACUCUUUCUCCCCGUCUCUCAUGAAUAAAUAAAUAAAAGCUUCAAAAAAUUAUUUUAAAGUGAGAUUCUGGCUUUGUUAAAGAAUGAAUACAAAUAGUGACUGAAACAGUCUAUCUAUAUGCCAAGCAAGCCUACUUCUUUGCUUGUUAACUUUUUCCUUUGUAGUGUUUUCUGGCACUAUUAGCUUAUUAUUAUUAUUUUUCUUGGUUUUAUGCACACUCUAAAGAUGUAUGAUGGCUGCACUUUCAACGGGGGGAGCCAAAUAUUCAACAGUUAAAAGAUGACUCUUCUAAGCAGUUGUUAUUAUAAGAUACAGUGUAAGUUAUCCUCCUAGCAUUGAUGUCAGUAACUUUGAUGUCUUGAGAUAGACCAUCCUCAGAACUCAGAAUAGAUUUCUGACAAAAUAUCUAGUGAAUAUUAUGCCAUUCUCUGACUUUGAGAAGCUUAAAAUACCGGUUGCAGUAUUAAUUUACAAAUGCAUGAAUCAACACUUGUCUUAAAUCAGAAGUAUGAAAUAUUUUUAUAGAUAAAAACUGUCAUCUAUUGAGUUUGAAAAAGUUUCUAUUAUAUAUUCAAAUACAUUGCAGAUAGUCAUUGAUAACCUGCUGCAUUUCAAGCACUGUCCAAAGCACUGGAGAUAGAAAAAUCAAUUAGAUAUAAUAACUUUCUUUGAUGAACUGUUAGUUGAAAGGAGGGGGGAAAAAGGUACAGAGAUAUGAUUACAUAAUGCUAUCUUUUUCCCAGUAAAAUACAAACUGGCUGCUCUAAGGAGAGAGAGAGACAGAAAAAGAAGGUGAGAGAGGGGGGAAAGGGGAGAUUUGGGGAGGAAGAGAGAAAGAGAGAGAGAGGGAGAGAGAAAGGGAGAGGCAGACUGACCACUUCUAUGAAUUUCUGUGCAAACCUAGCAGGAUAUUUGGAUCCAGUGGCUAAAGGAAUGGCAAAUAAAUCCAUUGAUUUACCAGGGUUGGUACACACUUCCCAUCUUUUUUGGUCAAUUUUCUAAUCAUCCAAACUUUGAAUUGAUAGAUCGUUGUCUAUAGAUUCAGAAGUACAUUGGUUUGAAUGUGAGCUUUACCGCUUCUUAAAGUUACUUGACUUUUCUAAGACUCCAUUUUCUCAUCUUUACUAUGGGGAAAGGUAGUUUUACCACGGAGUUAGAAGGUUAAGCUUCAAUGUCUGUCAUUUGCACUUUUUGUGCACAAAAUGAAAAAAAAAUUACAAAAUGCCUAGCCACAUAAAUUGUAUAAACCUUAGGUCCCACAAAACCUGGAUUUUCAGGUCUCCAAUAUAAUCAUUAAAUAUAAUUGUAUUUACUCUGAGACUUAAAUGGAAAACAUGAAAUGAUUCUAGUGCAGGACUUGAUAAACCCAGUAAUUAAUAUUAACACAUUCUCAUCUCCAUUUUACGAUAGAUUUAUUCCUCAUUGGUUAUAAAUAUCUAUCAAGGAAUACUAAAAAAUGAGAUAAAUGUGUUUUUUGAAGCAGUCCAGACAAACAAGUUAAAAUAACUAAUCUUAAUUUUUAAGACUCUCCCUCACAGAGAGAUAAUUUGACUCAAUCCUUCUCUGACCUUGUGUGAAACAUGCUCCAUAACAAACAUUUAUCUUAUUGCUCGGCAUCUCUGAAAGCAUUCUUAAUGCCAGCUCUCUCACUCACUAUUACCCUCAUGUCAGUUGUAAAUUGUCUUCCAAACACAUCUUUCCUUGUGUUUAUGAAGUAUUCUGCUGGCCUUAGAAUAUGUUACACUUAAACUGUGGUGUGACAUAACAAAUAACACUCAUAAAAUUUCAGGUGGUUUGCAAUUUUAUGCAUCUGGUACACAUGCUUCAAAAACACAAAAGAACAUGCUCAGCAAAUCUUAUGCUUCAAAACUAGAAUUAUGAUGGCUUUUCUUACAUGCUUUGCUGAAUAGAAAAGUAAAUUAUUCCACCUUUGUAUCUUUAAUAUUAAUUCAAAUGCUGUACAUUUUCCUCAUAUUUUGUAUUUACAUAUUUUAGAUCUCUACAACAUCCAUGUGAUAAAUUGGGACAGUGUCUCUACAUUUAGUCUAUACCCUGGGAAAGGAACAGACACACACAACUAAAUGUAUAGGCUUCAGAACUGCAUAGUAUUAACCUAAAAUUCCAAAGGAGAAGAAAGAAAAUAGAAUUAAAUGAACGCUCCUUUGUAAUCAGGGCAGAAAAAAGAAGGGAAGUUUUAAAAA
rnacentral:lncRNA from 1 species